CAUGGUAAGAAGUUAUACAAAGUCUUUUGCGGUACAGGAUGGACCCGCGUCUGAUUUAGCUAGUUGGUAAGGUAACGGCUUACCAAGGCGACGAUCAGUAGCCGACCUGAGAGGGUGAUCGGCCACAUUGGAACUGAGACACGGUCCAAACUCCUACGGGAGGCAGCAGUGGGGAAUAUUGCACAAUGGGCGAAAGCCUGAUGCAGCAACGCCGCGUGAGCGAUGAAGGCCUUCGGGUCGUAAAGCUCUGUCCUCAAGGAAGAUAAUGACGGUACUUGAGGAGGAAGCCCCGGCUAACUACGUGCC
rnacentral:rRNA from 1 species